AAAAAUCUUACUGUUAUAUUUAUAUUGCAAUUUGUACUAUAGAUAAAAUCUUAAGUACAGCCGUUCUGCUCGAAACGGUACAGCAGUUUUUUAACUGGUGUUAUGAAUUGUAGCAACGCGAGAGUCGGCGUUUUAACAGGCUUGGCGGUCUCUUGAGUGGGUAUCUUGGAAGCAUUAAAGUAGAAAGUAAGCUACUAUGCUAGUUGUAGGGCAAGGGUUACAAUGACAGUGAAUUUAAACUGUUACAAGAUAAGU
rnacentral:ncRNA from 1 species